GAGUUUGAUCCUGGCUCAGGACGAACGCUGGCGGCGUGCCUAACACAUGCAAGUCGAACGAAGCUUGAAUUCAGAUUUUUUCGGAAUGACGAAUGAUAUGACUGAGUGGCGGACGGGUGAGUAACGCGUGGGUAACCUGCCCUGUACAGGGGGAUAACAGUUGGAAACGGCUGCUAAUACCGCAUAAGCGCACGAGGAGACAUCUCCUUGUGUGAAAAACUCCGGUGGUACAGGAUGGGCCCGCGUCUGAUUAGCUGGUUGGCAGGGUAACGGCCUACCAAGGCGACGAUCAGUAGCCGGUCUGAGAGGAUGAACGGCCACAUUGGAACUGAGACACGGUCCAAACUCCUACGGGAGGCAGCAGUGGGGAAUAUUGCACAAUGGGGGAAACCCUGAUGCAGCAACGCCGCGUGAGUGAAGAAGUAUUUCGGUAUGUAAAGCUCUAUCAGCAGGGAAGAAAGUGACGGUACCUGAAUAAGAAGCCCCGGCUAACUACGUGCCAGCAGCCGCGGUAAUAC
rnacentral:rRNA from 1 species